AGAGAGAGACAUGCGCGCAUAUCAAUAAGCGGAGGAAAAGAAACUAACAAGGAUUCCCUUAGUAACGGCGAGUGAAGCGGGAAGAGCUCAAAUUUGAAAUCUUCAAGGUUUUACCUUGACGAAUUGUAGUUUAAAGAAGUGUUUUCUGCUGAAGUUUUGGUAAAAGUUCUUUGGAAUAGGACAUCAUAGAGGGUGAGAAUCCCGUAUUUGACCAUUAUUUUCAGCUUUGUGAUACACUUUCAAAGAGUCGGAUUGUUUGGGAAUGCAGUCCAAAAUGGGUGGUAAAUUUCAUCUAAAGCUAAAUAUUGGCGAGAGACCGAUAGCGAACAAGUACCGUGAGGGAAAGAUGAAAAGAACUUUGAAAAGAGAGUUAAACAGUACGUGAAAUUGUCAAAAGGGAAGCGUUUGACACCAGUGUUGUUUUCUCGAAAAUCAAUUAAAAAUGGCUCGAUUUUGUAUUGCUUGAGACCUUAAAAGCUCACCGUACAUUUUUCGUGUCUUUUUUAAUGCACCUUUCGUUUAACAAGUCAACAUCAGUUUCUUUUGUUGUAAAAGGGUCAUUGGAAGAUGGCUUUCUUUUCGGAGAAAGUGUUUAUAGCCUUUGGCCUCUGCAAUCGGAGAGACUGAGGUCUGCAGCGUAGACUCUUCGGGGUUAGAUACAUUUGUGCUAAGUUAUAGCUUUUUAUAGACAACUUGUUGACUAUAAUUGGUCUUGUAGCUUACUCGCUUAUGCUAUUUUACCUACGCUUAGGAUGUUGAGUCGUAGAGCACGCAG
rnacentral:rRNA from 1 species